UGGCUGUCGUCAGCUCGGUGUCGUGAGAUGUUGGGUUAAGUCCCGGCAACCGAGCGCAACCCUUGCCUUUAGUUGCCAGCAGUUCGGCUGGCACUCUAAAGGGACUGCUGGUGUUAAACCGGAGGAAGGUGGGGAUGACGUCAAGUCCUCAUGGCCUUAUGACCAGGGCUACACACGUACUACAAUGGCCGAUACAAAGGGCAGCGACACUGCGAGGUGAAGCCAAUCCCGUAAAAUCGGUCUCAGUCCGGAUUGGAGUCUGCAACUCGACUCCAUGAAGUUGGAAUCGCUAGUAAUCGUGGAUCAGCAUGCCACGGUGAAUACGUUCCCGGGCCUU
rnacentral:rRNA from 1 species